rnacentral:rRNA from 1 species
AAUUCUCCCUUGGAUCCAGACUCCCUUCCUGGCUCAUGAUGAACGCUAGCUACAGGCUUAACACCUGCAAGUCGAGGGGAAACGACAUCGAAAGCUUGCUUUUGAUGGGCGUCGACCGGCGCACGGGUGAGUAACGCGUAUCCAACCUGCCCACCACUUGGGGAUAACCUUGCGAAAGUAAGACUAAUACCCAAUGACGUCUCUAGAAGACAUCUGAAGGAGAUUAAAGAUUUAUCGGUGAUGGAUGGGGAUGCGUCUGAUUAGCUUGUUGGCGGGGUAACGGCCCACCAAGGCGACGAUCAGUAGGGGUUCUGAGAGGAAGGUCCCCCACAUUGGAACUGAGACACGGUCCAAACUCCUACGGGAGGCAGCAGUGAGGAAUAUUGGUCAAUGGGCGAGAGCCUGAACCAGCCAAGUAGCGUGCAGGAUGACGGCCCUAUGGGUUGUAAACUGCUUUUAUAAGGGAAUAAAGUGAGUCUCGUGAGACUUUUUGCAUGUACCUUAUGAAUAAGGACCGGCUAAUUCCGUGCCAGCAGCCGCGGUAAUACGGAAGGUCCGGGCGUUAUCCGGAUUUAUUGGGUUUAAAGGGAGCGUAGGCCGGAGAUUAAGCGUGUUGUGAAGUGUAGAUGCUCAACAUCUGAACUGCAGCGCGAACUGGUUUCCUUGAGUACGCACAAAGUGGGCGGAAUUCGUGGUGUAGCGGUGAAAUGCUUAGAUAUCACGAAGAACUCCGAUUGCGAAGGCAGCUCACUGGAGCGCAACUGACGCUGAAGCUCGAAAGUGCGGGUAUCGAACAGGAUUAGAUACCCUGGUAGUCCGCACGGUAAACGAUGGAUGCCCGCUGUUGGUCUGAAUAGGUCAGCGGCCAAGCGAAAGCAUUAAGCAUCCCACCUGGGGAGUACGCCGGCAACGGUGCAACUCAAAUGAAUUGACGG